rnacentral:rRNA from 1 species
AUGGACAAGACUGUCGCUCAGGUGCUUGAGCGUGGGGAGCAAACAGGAUUAGAUACCCUGGUAGUCCACGCUGUAAACGAUGUCUAUUUGGAGGUUGUUCCCUAUAGGAGUGGCUUCCGGAUCUAACGCGUUAAAUCCACCGCCUGGGGAGUACGGCCGCAAGGUUAAAACUCAAAUGAAUUGACGGGGGCCCGCUCAAGSGGGGGAUCAUGUGGUUUAAUUCGAUGCAACGCUAACAACCUUACCUACUCUUGACAUCCAGAGAAUUUAACAGAGAUGCUUUAUUGCCUUCGGGAACUCUGAGACAGGUGCUGCAUGGCUGUCUUCAGCUCGUGUUGUGAAAUGUCGCGUUAACCCCCGCUACGAGCGCACCCCUUAUCCUUUGUUGCCAUUUAUUCUGUCGGGAACUCUCACGAGACUGCCGGUGAUAAACCGUAGGAACGUGGGGAUGACCUCUAGGGAUCAUGGUCCUUACGAAUAUGGCUACACACGUGCUACAAUGGGGUAUCCAAACAUAAUUGACCUCCCGAGAUUCAGAGGAACUCAUAAAGUUCUUCGCAGGCCGGAUUGGACUCUGCAACUCUACUCCCUGAUCUCUGCAUCUUUAACCGAGA